GGUCCCGUAGUGAAGUUCAUGUUGAGUUGCAAACUCAUCGAUGUGCGUUAAGGGCGUACCGGGGCCU
rnacentral:tRNA from 1 species